rnacentral:tRNA from 1 species
AUAAAGUUUAUAAAAUUUAUAUUUUUUAGUUCAAAACUAAAUGUGAUCCAUCACUAAAACUUAA